rnacentral:rRNA from 1 species
UGCCUAACACAUGCAAGUCGAGCGAGAAAGCCCGCAAGGGUGAGUAAAGCGGCGCACGGGUGCGUAACACGUGGGUAAUCUGCCCUAGAGUCCGGAAUAACUCGCCGAAAGGCGUGCUAAUGCCGGAUGAGACCACGGGAGCUUCGGCUCCUGCGGGAAAAGGUGGCCUCUGUAUACAAGCUAUCGCUCUAGGAUGAGCCCGCGGCCCAUCAGCUCGUUGGCGGGGUAAUGGCCCACCAAGACUACGACGGGUAGCUGGUCUGAGAGGACGAUCAGCCACACUGGAACUGAGACACGGUCCAGACUCCUACGGGAGGCAGCAGUGGGGAAUCUUGCGCAAUGGGCGAAAGCCUGACGCAGCAACGCCGCGUGUGUGAUGAAGGUCUUCGGAUCGUAAAGCACUGUCGCGAGGGACGAAUAAGGGGCGGGCUAACAUCCCGUUCCGAUGACGGUACCUCGAGAGGAAGCACCGGCUAACUCUGUGCCAGCAGCCGCGGUAAUACAGAGGGUGCAAGCGUUGUUCGGAAUUAUUGGGCGUAAAGCGCGUGUAGGCGGCCUUGCAAGUUGGGUGUGAAAGCCCUCGGCUUAACCGAGGAAGUGCGCCCAAAACUACGAGGCUUGAGUGCCGGAGAGGGUGGCGGAAUUCCCGGUGUAGAGGUGAAAUUCGUAGAUAUCGGGAGGAACACCAGUGGCGAAGGCGGCCACCUGGACGGUAACUGACGCUGAGACGCGAAAGCGUGGGGAGCAAACAGGAUUAGAUACCCUGGUAGUCCACGCUGUAAACGAUGAGCGCUAGGUGUUGUGGGUGUUGACCCCCGCAGUGCCGCAGCUAACGCAUUAAGCGCUCCGCCUGGGAAGUACGGCCGCAAGGCUAAAACUCAAA